rnacentral:lncRNA from 1 species
AUGGAGCUGGAUUCGAAACAGAGAAUCUCCCCCGACUGUUGUCCCUGGGCUACAAAGACAAAGCAAAAUGCAGUGGUAUGUUUACACUGUCAGCAACACCUAUUUUUUCAGAAGAUGACUUUUAAAAUACAAUUUAUCAUAAAAUUGCAAAUAAUUGCCUUUUUUUUUUUUCCCUUUUUGAUAGCGUUGUAUAUGUUUUUGUUCAUUAGGUUUUUGAAAACCACGGGAGCAGAGGUACUGCCCAGCCUUGCCCAAGAUGUAUUGCUGGAGAAUCCGGACACUUCAAUCAUAUCCUGGGCUUCUAGGAGUUGAGAGUCGUCAGACGGGCAACGCUGCUUUUCCUUGUGAAUUCCAAAGCGGCACCGGGGCCCCCCGUGCCCCCCGGACGUCUGCGCCUUCGCCCACGGCGGGGACUCCGCGGUGCUCGGCGUACGGCAGCUUGCUCUGUCCCUGCACAGUCACCGAUAGCAUCGGUUCUACACUUGAAAAAAAAUGCUUCUGCUUUUAAGGUAGCUCAGUACGUGUUAGGAGAAAAAAAAAAAAAAGUUGAUUUAAUGUUUUAGAGUAGUUCAGUUGGUCUUUGGCCCUGGGACUGGGCCGAGGGUCCUGUCGGUACAAGAGAUUUUCCUGUCUCUCUCAGGCACUUUCCCUGACGCUGUUGGAACGUGGUCCUUGCAUUUCCAGGGGUGCAGGGCUGCAGUUCUAGCUCAGCCCCAUAUGUGCAGGCAGAAAUGUCUUCAUUUUUAGAUGGCUAUUCAGCUGGGAAGGCCAGUAAAAAUCCUAUUGAAACAUGUUUAAAUCUUAAAUAUGCGUUCGAUUUGGGUGUCUUCUAAGCUAGACUUCUAGUUUGUUUAUAACAAGCAGAGCUUGUGAAUGCGGCAGGCAAACACCUAAUAGAAAAAGGAGUAUUAUUUGAACAAGCCUCUGUAAAGCCAAGGUGAACAGUAAUUCAGCUCUGUGGAGUCCUCAAAGGUGAAGAUGCCCUGACACUGUCUUUCCAGUUAUUGUCAUACUACAACAAAGCUGUUAAAAAGUCUUGAACUUGUCAUCCAACAGAAUUUCAUUGGCUUCUUACAAAUAAUUUCAUCUACAUUUUGCCAGUAUAUAGAACUACAUCAUUUUUAAACACAUUCAGAUUUUUAGACUACGAUAGCUGAGUUGUAGUUAGCACUGAGUUGACUGUUAUUAAGGAGAUAUUCUUCCUGAAUAGAUUAAUCAUGUGAAUGCUGAAUUCAGUUAAGUAAUAGAUGAGGAAAUAAGUCUACAGAGCAGCCCUGCACUAAAUGGCCAUGCGUACUGAUUGGCUAGGAGG